rnacentral:lncRNA from 1 species
UGAAAGUUACCUUCUGUUAACUCUUUUUUUUUUUUUUUAAUUUUUUUGGAGACUGAGUUUUUCUCUGUCACCCAGGCUGGAGUGCAAGGGUGUGAUCUUGGCUCACUGCAACCUCCAGUUCACUGCAACCUCUGCCUCCUGGGUUCAAGUUAUUCUUGUGCCUCAACCUCCUGAGUAGCUGGGAUUACAGGCAUCCACCACCACGCCUGGCUAAUAUUUGGAUUUUUAGUAGAGACAGGGUUUCACUCUGUUGCCCAGGCUGGUCUUGAACUCUUGACCUCACAUGAUCCUCCUGCCUCAGCCUCCCCAAGUGCUGGGAUUACAAAGCAUGAGCCACUGCACCCAGCCUGCUAUUUACUUUUCAGAGAUCCCAAAUACCUCCCUGCACUCGGUCCAGGUUUCAUAUGUAUAGUCACUGGGAGAUACAGAAUACAGUGUGCUUACAUAAUCUUACCUGGAAACAGAAUUCCCUCCCUAUAUUUUUGACAAUAUACAUGGUAAAGUCCUGCAUUUCUUUUGAUGUAUUGGCCAUCUUCUGCCAAGCGUAACUUUGUAAUUGGCCUCCUAGAGAAUACUCUGAUUUGACCCUCAUGAUAGGUCUGGAGGCAAUGAGAGGAUAGACGUAGGUCCUAAAGAGAAUCCUUAAAAUGUAACUAUCUCAGGUAAAGUAAUUACAGGGUAUUUACACAGGGUAGAACCAGCUUCAUGACACAGAGAAAGAGGAAGCUCAGUGGGUGUUGGAGAUUAGGGUCCUAAGGGCCAUCUGGAUUUUCCAAAAUAUCAUUAUUCCAGUUCUUUGGGUCUUCGUUUUCCUAACAACUGUCCUUUCAAAAGACACAAUAGGGCUUUGGGUUCAAACACUAAUGUCAUUUGACAAACCACCAGAUUCUGAGUCUGAUUUUAGUUAUAUCAGCCCUGCUGGAGAUGAGAUUCAUUCUUUCUCAGUAGUUGUAGAAACUCCUUGGUUUUCUAAACAUACUUUGAGCUGAAAACUUAAAACCCCAGCCUUUCAUUUUUGUCUUCUAAGCUUACUAGUGCAGUUAUACAUCAGUAGUUUACUCCCCGUCCUUGUAUUCCUCAGGCCUUUGAUAAUGUUCUACAAUAGCUGCCGCUCUGACUACCAAAGUCUUCAUUCUAUAUUCUUCAUUUCUGGUAGACAGAGGUUAUUUAAGAAACGAAUUUGUCACUAGGUGUUUUAGAGUAGCAAUAUCACUUUCUUUAUUGAAAACUGGAUCCUUGCCCUGUCAGGCUAGACAGCCUAUUAGUCCUCGGGUCUCAUUUCCACAAAGGUCUGUUGUUCCUUGUAUCGUCUGCUAUUUUUGCUCAGGGUUCAAUUGCAGACAACAGAAUCCAUUUUGCCAAAUUUAAGCAGAAACGGAGUUAAAAUGGUAUAUGUGGAAGUCAGAAUUCUAAAAUGGCUCCCCAGAUUCUUCUCCCAUCGUAUAUAUGCCUUGUCUAAUCCCUCUCUUGGAGUGUGGGCAGAACUUUGAAUAUGACUGAAUAUCCUUUGGUUAUGUUACAUGAUAUGGAAAUAGGAAUUUUGUAGUAAUUAACAUCCCUAAUCAAUUUACUUUGAUUAAUCAAAAGUGAGAUUAUUCCAGGUGGGUCUGACCUAAUCACACUAUGCCUUAAAAGAUACAAGAAGAAAUAGCAGAUUCUCUUCUGUGGUCCUUAAAGGAACAACCUGUCAUAUUGCAGAGAGGGCUAUGUGGCAAAAACCUAAAGGUGGUCUCCAGGAACUGGUUGGGGUCCCUGGGUGAUAGUUAAGAAAAUGGGGAUCUUAGUCACAAGGCCACAAGGAAACUAAUUCUGCCAACAACCUGAGAGACCCUGGAAGUGGGUCUUUCCCUAGCCAAGUCCUUGAUGAGGAUACAGGUAGGUGAUGUCUUCAUUUCAAUGAGACCUUAAUCAGAGGAAGUAGCUCAAGUGUGCUGAACUCUUGAUCCAUGGAAUGUGAGAUCAUAACUGUGUAUUGUUUUAAGCUGCUAAGUUUGUGGCAAUGUUUUAUACAGCAAUAGAAAAUGAAUACAGUAUGCUAACAAACUUACAGAAUUUCUAGAAGGUCCAGGACCCAAGUUUGAAAGCCACAAAGCCAGAAUUGACACAGUUAGGAGAUAUGUCCAACCAUACAAUGAGACUUACCGCUGAAACCCUGUUGCUGCUUCCACCUGAAGCACACCAUUCAUCAAACCAGGGAUCAAACAAACACCACAACUAAAAGCUAUCUAUUUCAAUAGGGCUCAGAGAACAUGUUGUUGCAAUGUUGUUUUCUCAUCUGUGAAAGAAAAAUAACCAUGGUAUUUACCUAAAUAAGUACUUAUCAAUAAGUAGUUACAAGGAUGAAAUAAAAUAAAGCUUUUAAAGCAUUCGAGUAGUAUACAGCUCUUGAUGUUCUGUAUGUGUUCGUUAUUAUUAUAUCUACUCAAGAUGGACUUUCCCAAGGCCAUGAAACUAGUAGGUAGCUCAGUGGAGACUUAACUUUGCAUCUUUCUACUAUCAAAACCCAUUCUUCUUCUUCUUCUUCUUCUUCUUCUUUUGAGACAGAGUUUCGCUCUUGUUGUCCAGGCUGGAGUGCAAUGGUGCGAUCUCGGCUCACUGCCACCUCCGUCUCCCGGGUUCAAGUGAGUCUUCUGCCUGAGCCUCCUAAGUAAUUGGGAUUAUAGACGCCUGCCAAAAUGCCCAGCUAAUUUUGUAUUUUUAGUAGAGAUGAGGUUUCUCCAUGUUGGUCAAGCUGGUCUCGAACUUCCGACCUCAGGUGAUCCACCCACCUCGGGCUCCUAAAGUGCUGGGAUUACAGGCAUGAGCCACUGCGCCAGGCCCCAUUCUUCUUUUUAUCCCUUCUUUUUAGCAGAAAGAGUGAUCCAGAAACUCAGUUUGAAAGAAACUUUGCCAAUUUUCCAUUCUUAGCCUCUCCCAGGAGAGAAAGAUCCACCUCAAAGAGACAGAGGAAAUCUUGCAUAAUAGAGUAUGAAUGUUUUAUGAAUUUGGUCAUCACUGAGUAAACUAAAGGGUCAAUAACAUACUCAUUAAUAAGUGUGGCAUUUUGUUUGGAAUUCUGAAAAUGAUCGGACUAUACACAACCACAUGAACUCAUGAGGACUUGUUGAAAUUCCCCAGAUCAGCUUCCCUGCUUUCGUAAGUGUCCUUGUUUCCUGACUUCUGCCUCUGGUGUCAUAAACCAUUUUCCAAAUAUACAUCUCUUUUUCUCCUCUAUCAAUUGUCUGGAGUUCUUCUCUGCCUGUCAUUGGGAGGAAAGGGUGUGAAAGUUUGGAACUUCUGCCUUUAUUGGCUAUGGAAGACGUGUGUGUCUGUGUGUGGGCAUGGGCAUGUGCAUGGUGUGUAUGGGGGUGGAGAGUGAGGCAGAUGGUUUGGUGAUGAUGUUAUAGACCCUCAGAACUGAUGCAAAGGAGAGGAAUUCUGUCCAAUAAGGGUGCACAGUAAAGGGGCUAGUGAAGCUGUAUCUAAACCAGGGGUAAAAUGACUAAUGGUAUCAAGAAGGAAUAUAGUUAGCCAUGCUCAGAAAUAUAAUCAUCAUGAAAGUAAAAUAUUUAAAGGCAAGAUGCUAAUUUAAAAUAUAUAUAUUAAAGGUGGCAGUGAUCUGGGAUAUUUUCCCAGAGACCCAUGGAUGGCCAGUGAUUGUGGAGAGGUCUUGGAAGCUAUUCAUGUAGUCAGGAUUUAAGCAGCAUCUAGGUCAGCAUAAGCCCUAGGUAUUAGUCGUAGCCCUUGAUUGUAAACAACAGAACUUGCUGUGGUUAAUUUGAACCAAAAUAGAUUCACCUGGAAGGAUUUAACUUCACUUUGUACAGCAAAUAAAUGACAGAAAUCUGGAAAGCUGGGUUUCAAGUGGUGAGAUAUAUGGACCACUGACUAGGAUGAUGCUCGAUUUGUAUAAUAAAAAUAUUUCAAGAGAAUUCUGUCUUCAGGUAAAGGCAGAGGACUUUAUACCAGAUAAACUUUCCCACUGACAAUAUUAAAUUCUUGGCAAAAUACUGAAAAUAAUUAUUUGAAGGCACAGUAGAGUGAGAAAAACCAGGGGCUACUACCCAUGAAAUAAGGCAAAUACCCUAAGCAAAACCCACAUUUGUCUGACGUUUUCUUGAAGGCAUUCCCAGUUGAAGCAAUGUAUGGGAGUAGAGCUAAAUCAGAAUACAGGAUUCCUGGCUGGUUGUGGUGGCUCACACUUGUAAUCCCAGCACUUUAGGAGGCCGAGGCAGGCCGAUCACCUGAGGUCAGGAGUUCAAGACCAGCCUGGCCAAAAUAUAGUGAAACCCCAUCUCUACUAAAAAAAUGCAAAAAUUAGCUGAGCAUGGUGGCACACGCCUGUAGUCCUAGCUACUUGGGCAGCUGAGUCAGAAGAAUCACUGGAACCCAGGAGGUAGAGGUUGCAGUGAGCCAAGAUCACGCCACUGCACUCCAGUCUGGGCAACAGAGCAAGUCUCCGUCUAAAAAAAAAAAGAAAAAAAAAAAUCUAGAAUUCCUAAUGGACUGAGUAGACAGAGUGACUAGAGUGGCUGUAAAUUGAGGGGGUGAGUAUCCAGGAAAAGAGGGAGUCAUCUGAGACAGAAUGGGGUUCACCUGGCACUCAAAAAUCCGCAUAGAUCUUUCCUCAAAUCCUUAGCUGACACCUACACUGUGAAGACAUGGGGCAAGACUCCAAGGAACCCCAGAAGAAAAUCCCAGGGAUCUUACUAAUCAGAUGUUAUAGCAACUUCCCAGGGUUGUGAACACACAAUUUAGAGUUCAAGUUUUGGCAAGUUAGGGAGGCUCAGCAAAGCUUUCUGUUUAAAUGCCAGAAGGGCCAAACCCUAGGAGUAAGGAUCAUAUGCAAGGACUAAGGACUACUCCUUAGGAUGAGGGAAAAAACAAAAAGACCUACCCCCAAAAAACUUAAAAUCAAGACUCCACAAGAUUGAGGUUAUCUGCCUAUAAUUUAACUUCUUGCUAGAACAAAAAUUAAUACUCUUCUGAGGAAGACAACAGCAUCCAGAAUCUCUACAACCUAUCAUCCACACUGUACAGGAUAUGAUAUGACAUGAGAAGACACAGGAAAAUGGGACCUAUA